rnacentral:lncRNA from 1 species
GUCCAUGAGGUUUGAUUUUGUUCAUGGGAUUUUGAUUUUGGUUCAUGGAUGAUUUGUCCCGAUAGGAUUUGGCCCAUGAGGUUUAGUUUUGGCUAUGGGAUUUUCCAUGAGGUUUGGUUUUUAGGUUUAUUUGGGUUUGGGUUUUGAUUUUUUUUGGAUGGUUUGAUUUUGUGGUUCGGGUUUCGUCUUAUUUGUGGACUUUGGUUCAGGUUGGUUUGAUUUGAUUUAGUUUGGAGUUUUGGAUUUUAUGUGUGGACAUGGUUUGGAUUUUAUUUGAUUAUUAAUUGGUUAAGUUUGGGUUUUGGUUUGGAGUACCUGGUUUAGGGUUUAUUUGGGUUUGGGUUUUGAUUUUAUUUGUGGGAUGGGUUUGAUUUUGGGUUCGGGUUUCGGUCUUAUUUGUGGACUUGGUUCAGGUUGGGUUUGGAUUUGAUUUGGGUUUGGGUUUUGGUUUUAUGUGUGGAAUGGGUUUGGAUUUUAUUUUUGGACUUGAUUUGGGUUGGGUUUGCGUUUUAUUUGGGGAAUGGGUUUGGGUUUUAUUUGUAGACUUGAUUUGGUUUAGGUUUGGAUUUUAUUUGGAUUUGGGUUCAUAUGUGAACUUGAUUCGGAUUUGCAACUUGAUUUGGGGUCCGAAUUUGAUUUUUCAGUUUGAUUUUGAUUUGAUUUGGGGUCCGAAGAAAUCCCCGUUUGAUCUUGAUUUGAUUUGGGGUCCGAAGAAAUCCCCGUUUGAUCUUGAUUUGAUUUAGGGUUCGAAGAAAUCCCCGUUUGAUCUUGAUUUGAUUUGGGGUCCGAAGAAAUCCCCGUUUGAUUUCGAUUUGGAUUUGAUUUUCCAAUUCGAUUUGGGGUCCGAAGAAAUCCCCGUUUGAUUUUGAUUUGGAUUUGAUUUUCCAAUUCGAUUUGGGGUCCAAAGAAAUCCCCGUUUGAUUCAAUUUGAUUUGCGGUCCGAAGAAAUCCCCGU